GGCCCGUCCCAAUCCCCCCUUGGCGGGGGACCUGGCCUUUUUUUCUCUUUUUUUCCCCCCCUCCUCCUUAUGCCUCUGCCAUUUUGUCAGCUAGAGAGAGAAGUCACAGGCAAGGCAACUGUACAGCCUGCAGGAGUGUGACCAUGGACUGGAAUGAGAGUAAGAGCAGAAUCGAACCCCCUUGCAGCCACCCUGCCUCAGCGGAACAAAGUUGCAAUGAGGUUAAUUAAAACACACAUUGGGCUGGAUUCUCUGGAACGACACUAUCUUAUCGUAGAUUUCUGUUACCGUGUAGACAAGCCUCCAGUCGAGCUGACCUUGCUGACUUGAAAGGGUCUUGCUCCACUCUUCGGUUGCGUUAGUAGUUGUCAGAGUUGGUCAGCCCAGCCAUGGUCUUAUACCCUGUCCUCCUACCUCAUCUGAUGACAGAACCGGAGAAAGAUUAUUUCAUCGCUGGAUGAACUUAUCACACCCUUCACGGGCCAAGUUUGUCAUUAGCUUCACGGGGAUCCGACCCCCCCUCAACUUCUCCCUGCAAAACAAAAAUGCCUUUUUUU
rnacentral:lncRNA from 1 species